rnacentral:rRNA from 1 species
GAUGAACGCUGGCGGCGUGCCUAAUACAUGCAAGUCGAGCGAACGGACGGGAAGCUUGCUUUUCUGAUGUUAGCGGCGGACGAGUGAGUAACACGUGGAUAACCUACCUAUAAGACUGGGAUAACUUCGGGAAACCGGAGCUAAUACCGGAUAAUAUUUUGAACCGCAUGGUUCAAAAGUGAAAGACGGUCUUGCUGUUACUUAUAGAUGGAUCCGCGCUGCAUUAGCUAGUUGGUAAGGUAACGGCUUACCAAGGCAACGAUGCAUAGCCGACCUGAGAGGGUGAUCGGCCACACUGGAACUGAGACACGGUCCAGACUCCUACGGGAGGCAGCAGUAGGGAAUCUUCCGCAAUGGGCGAAAGCCUGACGGAGCAACGCCGCGUGAGUGAUGAAGGUCUUCGGAUCGUAAAACUCUGUUAUUAGGGAAGAACAUAUGUGUAAGUAACUGUGCACAUCUUGACGGUACCUAAUCAGAAAGCCACGGCUAACUACGUG